rnacentral:miRNA from 1 species
UAAAGAUUGCAUUUGAGGGCUGGAAUGUAGCUCAGUGGUAGAGCACUGGCCUAGCAUGUACCAGGCGCUGAGUUCCAAUCCUUGGUACUAA